rnacentral:rRNA from 1 species
AAUAUUGGACAAUGGGCGAAAGCCUGAUCCAGCCAUCCCCCGCGUGUGAAGAGGGUCUUCGGAUUGUAAAGCACUUUAAGACGGGAGGAGUGGCAGUAACUUAAUACCUUGCUGUUCUGACGUUAGAGACAGCAUAAGCACCGGCUACCGUCGUGCCAGUAGUCGCGGUAAUACGAACGGUGCGAGCGUUAAUCGGAAUUACUGGGCGUAAAGCGCGCGUAGGUGGUUCGUUAAGUUGGAAGUGAAAGCCCCGGGCUUAACCUGGGAAUUGCUUUCAAAACUGACGAGCUAGAGUAAGGUAGAGGGUAGUGGAAUUUCCUGUGUAGCGGUGAAAUGCGUAGAUAUAGGAAGGAACAUCAGUGGCGAAGGUGACUACCUGGACUGAUACUGACACUGAGGUGCGAAAGCGUGGGGAGCAAACAGG